rnacentral:rRNA from 1 species
GGUUAAGCGACUAAGCGUACACGGUGGAUGCCCUGGCAGUCAGAGGCGAUGAAGGACGUGCUAAUCUGCGAUAAGCGUCGGUGAGGUGAUAUGAACCGUUAUAACCGGCGAUUUCCGAAUGGGGAAACCCAGUGUGUUUCGACACACUAUCAUUAACUGAAUCCAUAGGUUAAUGA